UACAGAGGUCCCAAGCGUUGUUCGGAUUCACUGGGCGUAAAGGGUGCGUAGGCGGUCGGGUAAGUCUGGCGUGAAAUCUCCAAGCCUAACUUGGAAACUGCGUUGGAUACUAUCCGGCUCGAGGAAUGGAGGGGAGACUGGAAUACUUGGUGUAGCAGUGAAAUGCGUAGAUAUCGAUCGGAACACCCAUGGCGAAGGCAGCUCGCUGGCCUGCAACUGACGCUGAGGCGCGAAAGCGUGGGGAGCAAACAGG
rnacentral:rRNA from 1 species